ACGGCAGCGCGGGGCAACCUGGCGGCGAGUGGCGAACGGGUGAGUAAUAUAUCGGAACGUACCCUGGAGUGGGGGAUAACGUAGCGAAAGUUACGCUAAUACCGCAUACGAUCUAAGGAUGAAAGUGGGGGAUCGCAAGACCUCAUGCUCCUGGAGCGGCCGAUAUCUGAUUAGCUAGUUGGUGGGGUAAAGGCCUACCAAGGCAUCGAUCAGUAGCUGGUCUGAGAGGACGACCAGCCACACUGGAACUGAGACACGGUCCAGACUCCUACGGGAGGCAGCAGUGGGGAAUUUUGGACAAUGGGCGAAAGCCUGAUCCAGCAAUGCCGCGUGAGUGAAGAAGGCCUUCGGGUUGUAAAGCUCUUUUGUCAGGGAAGAAACGGUGAGGGCUAAUAUCUCUUGCUAAUGACGGUACCUGAAGAAUAAGCACCGGCUAACUACGUGCCAGCAGCCGCGGUAAU
rnacentral:rRNA from 1 species